UACGUAGGGGGCAAGCGUUAUCCGGAUUUACUGGGUGUAAAGGGAGCGUAGACGGUGAUGCAAGUCAGAAGUGAAAGCCCGGGGCUCAACUCCGGGACUGCUUUUGAAACUGUGUAACUGGAGUGCAGGAGAGGUAAGCGGAAUUCCUAGUGUAGCGGUGAAAUGCGUAGAUAUUAGGAGGAACACCAGUGGCGAAGGCGACUUUCUGGACUGUACCUGACGCUGAGGCGCGAAAGCAUGGGGAGCGAACAGG
rnacentral:rRNA from 1 species